CCUGGGGCUGCCGCCCCAGGCUAAGUGCUGUCGUGCCUCCGGCACU
rnacentral:sRNA from 1 species